AAAUUGAAGAGUUUGAUCAUGGCUCAGAUUGAACGCUGGCGGCAGGCCUAACACAUGCAAGUCGAACGGUAACAGGAAGCAGCUUGCUGCUUCGCUGACGAGUGGCGGACGGGUGAGUAAUGUCUGGGAAACUGCCUGAUGGAGGGGGAUAACUACUGGAAACGGUGGCUAAUACCGCAUAACGUCGCAAGACCAAAGAGGGGGACCUUCGGGCCUCUUGCCAUCAGAUGUGCCCAGAUGGGAUUAGCUUGUUGGUGAGGUAACGGCUCACCAAGGCGACGAUCCCUAGCUGGUCUGAGAGGAUGACCAGCCACACUGGAACUGAGACACGGUCCAGACUCCUAC
rnacentral:rRNA from 1 species